rnacentral:rRNA from 1 species
GUACGACGCCGGCGGCAGGCCUAACACAUGCAAGUCGAACGGUAACAGGAUNAGCUUGCNCNUNGAUGACGAGUGGCGGACGGGUGAGUAAUGCUUGGGAACUUGCCUUUGCGAGGGGGAUAACAGUUGGAAACGACUGCUAAUACCGCAUAAUGUCUUCGGACCAAACGGGGCUUCGGCUCCGGCGCAGAGAGAGGCCCAAGUGAGAUUAGCUAGUUGGUAAGGUAAAGGCUUACCAAGGCGACGAUCUCUAGCUGUUCUGAGAGGAAGAUCAGCUACACUGGGACUGAGACACGGCUCCAGACUCCUACGGGAGGCAGCAGUGGGGAAUAUUGCACAAUGGGGGAAACCCUGAUGCAAGCCAUGCCGCGUGUGUGAAGAAGGCCUUCGGGUUGUAAAGCACUUUCAGUUGUAAGGAAAAGUUCGUAGUUAAUACCUGCCAGCCGUGACGUUAACAACAGAAGAAGCACCGGCUAACUCCGUGCCAGCAGCCGCGGUAAUACGGAGGGUGCGAGCGUUAAUCGGAAUUACUGGGCGUAAAGCGCACGCAGGCGGUUUGUUAAGCUAGAUGUGAAAGCCCCGGGCUCAACCUGGGAUGGUCAUUUAGAACUGGCAGACUAGAGUCUUGGAGAGGGGAGUGGAAUUCCAGGUGUAGCGGUGAAAUGCGUAGAUAUCUGGAGGAACAUCAGGGCGAAGGCGACUCCCUGGCCAAAGACUACGCUCAUUCGAAAUGUGGACGACA